AUGGGACAGCAGGUCAUCUGCUGGGUGUUUUUCACCCUGUUGACCUUGUCUCCAGUCCUUUGGGCUCAGAGUAUAGUGCAAGUGCAUUCUGGGCUCCAAGUCAGCCGAGGAAAGUCUGUUUAUGUGACCAACAAGGAUCUGCAGCUCAGUCUCCCUGAUGAUGUGAAUUCCUGCAAGGUGGAAGUGGUAUUGAAUGAACCCGUGACACAAAGAGUUGGCAAACUCACACCUCAGGUUUUUGACUGUAACUUCUUACCUGAUGAGGUCAAGUACAUUCAUAAUGGUAGUCCUUUACUGGAGGAGGACACAGUGAUGCUAAGAAUCUACAGAUUUACACAUUCUGAGACUUUCAUAGAGACUGUUCUGCUGAGGGUGAGUGUGGUGGACCCCCAUGACAGCCUUAUCCAGUUUGGGAGAACUCCUUUGGUGGUCCCUGAGUUCUACAGCUUGUCUAACAUCAUUGACAGCAGAGUACUGACAUUCCAGAGCAGACCAGGAGCGAUCUGCAAUGUCCGUCUUCUCAACUCUGAAACUAGCAUGCCAGCAUUUGGACAGCUGGUCAAGGGCGAAUCCUCCAUGUCAACAUACUGCACCUUAGUUUUGUGCUGUUUUCAGACUCGAGACUCAUGUGCUGGUAACAAAGCCUGCAUCCAUGGCGCUAAGGAAGUACGUUUUUUAAAGGCCAACUGUGAGGAAUUCCUGAAAUCAGACUAUAAGUACCAGCAUCUCAAUCCUCCAUCCCCCGAGAUUGAUUACAUUACAAUCAGAGUGGAGCUGCGGGACAACAUCUCCAGGGCACUGUUGGAGACAGAAAGCACUUGGAUCCCAGUCCUAAUUCAUGGUGCCAUGCAGAACCAGCCCCCCCAUGCUGCCUUCAUGUCAAUGUUCAUCCUGGAGGUGGACCAGUUCAUUCUCACUCCCAUGACCACUGCUGCACUCGAUGCCAAGGACGAUGAAACCACUCAAGACCAGUUGGUGUUCAACAUUACUAAGCCCCCACCAGAGGGGUAUGUCACUCACCUGGAUGACCAUACCAAGCCAAUCACCUCCUUUAUCUGGCAAGACUUGCAUGAGAUGAAAAUUGCGUAUCAGCCCCCUAACAUAAGCUACACUGGGAGAAGGAACUAUGAGGUUGAGUUCCAGGCCAUUGACACUUCCUUUGCUACCAGUCCUACCAUACUGGUUCACUUCUCAGUCCGGACCGCAGAAACAAAUGCUCCUCGAGUGUCCUGGAAUAUGGGACUGGAUUUACUGGAAGGUCAAUCCAGACCAAUCACCUGGGAGAAUUUGCAGAUUGUGGACAGUGACAACAUCGAUGCAGUCUAUUUGGUGGCUGUGGAGGGACCUUCACAUGGGCAGCUGAGUGUGCGAGGUGGGAAAGGUUUCAUGUUCAAGGUGCAAGACCUGCAUGAGGGUGUAGUGGUGUACCAUCAUUCAGACAGCGACACCAUAAGGGACCAUAUAGUGUUCCGCAUCUCUGAUGGUCAGCACAGCAUUCGACACAAGUUCCCCAUCAAUAUUCUCCCAAAAGACGAUACACCUCCAUUCCUCAUCAACAAUGUGGCAUUUGAGGUGCAGGAGGGGGGUUCUGUUCUGGUGGAGGAAUACAUGUUAUUAGCCUCAGACUUGGACUCCAGCGAUGACUACAUCUUCUAUAAGGUUCUUACAGUUCCACGAGCCGGAGAGUUGAUUAAGAGGUCAUCUGCCCAGUUCCCAGGUGUGCCAGUGACUAGUUUCCUGCAGAGAGAUUUGUCUCAGGGCUUAAUUUAUUACAGACACUUUGGUGAUGAGGUAUUUGAAGAUUCAUUUGACUUCAUCCUCUCUGACAGCCACCAACCCCCAAAUCUGUCAGAAAGACAUACUGUGGUGGUUCAUGUUUCUCCAGUAAAGGACCAGCUGCCAGAGGAGGUGCCAGGCAGCAUCCGUGCCAUCACAGUGAAGGAGACAGAAAUUGUCCACCUCACCCAGAGCCACCUGCACUUCAGGGACCAAGAGUCUCCUGAGACAGACCUCAUGUAUUCCAUCAUUCAGCCCUGUUUCAGCCCCACAGCAUCCAGGUAUGAUGCCGGCAGGCUGUUCUAUACUGACAGUGCAUACUCCAUGAAGAAGGAUCCCACUGUUCCAGUGCUGAAGUCUUUUACUCAGGUAAUCAAACAAUAUGCACCUCUUAGUAAACUUACAGGCCGUCAUGCAGUGAAUCACCUGAAAGUGGGGUACAUGCCCCCCCUCGAAGACAUUGGACCAGAGCCUCUUUUUGUGCAGUUUAUCUUCUCUCUGAAUGACCAGCACGGUGGCACUCUGAGCGGCCUUGUCUUCAACAUUACCGUGAUGCCAGUGGACAACCAGCCUCCUGAGAUGUUCACCAACUUGAUGAGGGUGGAGGAGGGAGGAAGUGGCUUCGUGACCGAAGAGCACCUCCUGGUGCGGGACACGGAUAGCCAGGACACCCAGCUGAUGUUGCAGCUUCAAACAGCUCCUCGGCAUGGACAGCUGGAGCUGCAGGGUAUAGCGUUACUGUCAGGGGACAACUUUACUGUCCAGGACCUGAGGAGGCUCAGAGUCAGGUAUAUUCACGAUGACAGCGAAACUCUUGAAGACAGUAUUGACCUCAAAGCAACAGAUGGCACAAACUCUGCUUAUGGAUCACUCUCUGUGCAGAUCCUGCCUGUGAAUGAUGAGCCGCCCCUGCUCGGUGCCGGGCUACGAUCAGGCCUGGAGUGUGCAGAGGGGGGACGUGUGCAGGUGAGCGCGGACUACCUGUCUGCCACGGAUGCAGACAGUGAUGACGCCGAGCUCAUGUACAUGUUGGCACGGAGGCCAGCCCAAGGAGAACUGCAGAGAGCAGGCAUGGCAGUGGAAAAAUUCUCUCAGUGGGAUGUUGUCCAGGGGUUGAUCUUCUACGUGCACACAGGUGGUGAGAUCGGACCCCACCCUGUCUUAGACCCCGUCACCUUGAUUGUGUCAGAUGGAGAAGCUGGCCCUCUGGAGGGCUGCUGCCAUGGAGAUGCUCCACCACCACCUGUCCCUUUGCAUGGAUUCCUUCCUGUAUACGACCUCAACAUCACUGUACUUCCUGUCAAUAACCUGCCCCCUGUUAUCACACUAGGAGACAUGAUUGUGGUGGAUGAGGGUUCCUCUGCUUGUCUCUGUGGGGGGUUUCUGGGGGCAACUGAUCCUGAUACACCCCAGGACCAGCUCCUGUUUUCCAUUGAUGUUCCACCCCAGUAUGGCUUUAUAGAGAACACCUUGCCCUCACCCGGGUUUGAGAAGAGCAACGCAGGACUCAGAGUUUACUCUUUCAGCUGGCUGCACCUCAAUGCAGGGUACAUCAACUAUGUCCAGUCUCAGCAUGAAGGGACAGAGCCUGGAGCUGACCACUUUGUUGUGACAGUCAGCGAUGGGGUGCAGAGGUCAGCCUCAGUUCCCUUCUACAUAAUCAUCAGUCCUACAAAUGAUGAGAUGCCCACACUGCUCCUCAGCAACUUCUCUGUGAUGGAGGGAGGCAUGAAGGACUUGACUCCACAUAUUUUGGAUGCGGUGGAUUUAGAUGUCCCCACAGACACACUCACCCUCUCAGUUGUGGUGCCACCAGCCCACGGGAUGCUACUGAAUGGAAUCUACGGAGAGCAGAUGAGCCGCUACAGGGAGAUGGGACCUGAACUCCUCCAGAGAAGCCUCAGUGUGAUGGAUUUCACCCUGCAGGAACUUCGUCACGGAAUGAAGAUCAUAUACAUGCACGAUGACACGGAAACCCUCAAGGACGCUUUCACCAUGCAGCUGACAGAUGGCAGGCACACAGUCCAGGGGACGGCGCACGUCCGCGUCCUACCAGUCAAUGAUGAAAAGCCACGGCUGCUGAAAAAUACUGGUCUGGAAGUGGAGGCAAUGGAGAAGAGAAUUAUCUCCAGUGUGGUAUUGGAUGCAGAAGACCUGGACACCCCCAUACAUAAAUUGUACUACAUCCUCAGUGUUGGCCCCAAGUUCGGACAGCUGCAGAUGAAGGUCAAGGAAGGCUGGAUUCAUCUGAGACCAGGCCAGAACUUCACGCAAGAUGAUGUGGAGAUGAACCGCCUGUGGUACCUGCACACAACCAUGCAAGGAACGAAAGGUCACGACAGCUUCCACUUUUUCCUCACCGAUGGGGAGCACAAAUCUUUGCCCCACAGCUUCUUCAUCUCGCUCCGCACAGUACGAAAAGGGGACAUCACCCUUGUCACCAGGCCCAUCACCUUGAUGGAAGGUCACAGGGUCGUCCUGAACACAGACAUCCUGUUGGCCAUGGACAACACAGGCAAAGCAGAAGAGCUGGUGUACACGGUAUCGGUUCCUCCGAACCACGGGCACCUUCAUGCAGUGCAGCACCCUGGCAUCGCCCUCACCAGCUUCACCCAGCUGGAUGUGGCAGCCCAUCGAGUAUGCUAUACCCACGAUAACAGCCGCUCAGCCAAGCAAGAUUCCUUCAGCUUUGUCAUCAGCAAUGGUGUCACAUCGAAAAGUGGCUCCCUGCUCUUCAAUGUGGAACAUGGUGACCGCAUCCCUCCUACCCUAGUGACCAACAAAGGGCUCCAGCUCAUGGAGGGUACAGUGGCACUAAUCUCUCAGGACAGUCUAGAGCUGACCGACCCAGACACCACAGUGGAUAACUUGACUUAUGUUGUAACUCAGCAACCCCUUCACGGAAGGUUACUACUAAGAGGACAGCCUCUCUCCCAACCAAGAUUCACACAGGGUGAUGUGAACAACUUGGACCUGACCUACCGGCAGCAGAGUGUAAAGGCCCAGAUGGAUAAGUUUGCUUUCCUGCCCUCCGAUGGUACAAACAAAGGGUUUCUGCUGCAUGGCCAGCUGAGAGAGGAUCCAGUCAUUUUCAUAAUACAGGUGGAGCAUGUAGAUAAAAGCCCCCCAAGCCUGGUGACCAAGAGAAGCCCUAGUACAGUGGAGAACCUGCAUGAUGGCAGGCAGGGCAUCUACAUCACCUCCAGAGACCUGCGGGCAUCUGACCCUGACAGUCCAGAUCAGGAGCUGGAGUUCACUAUCCUCAGACCACCACAUUUUGGGCACUUAGAGAACAUCCUCACAGGGGGAUACAUAAGAGGCCGCUUCACACAGAAGGACCUGAACCAGCGUGCGGUGCUGUACAUUAUUGACCCCAGUGUGGAAGUGACAGGAGACAGCUUUGAGCUCCAAGUCAGUGACUCUGCAGGAAACACCAUGCUGCCGGAAGUCCUGGAGCUGAAAUGGUCUCGUGUAGAGCUGUCAGCGACGUGUUUCCGUGUUUGUGAGAACAUGGGGGUGUUGCCCCUUCAAGUGACACGCACCGGGAACAGCGCAGACCCUGCCUAUGUCAGCAUCCAGGUGGAAGAGGGCACUGCCAAAGUGGGGAAAGAUUUUACUCAUAGCUCAGCCAGUUUGAUCCAGUUUGAUACAGGGGUCAAUAUCAAAAGUUGGAAAAUCAAUCUUAAGGAUGACGGACUGGAGGAGAACCAUGAGAACUUUGAGGUGGUCUUGAAAGCGCAGAAGAAUGCAGUUCUGGGUCAGAAAAACCGAGCAACUGUAGAAAUUGUGGACCCCAGAGGAGGGAGUUGUGACCCACAUGAGUUAAUAGUUGAGGAGGAGCAGAAACAGACCCAACCAUUUCCUCCCCCUCCUGUCCACAUACCACCUUCACGCCCUGAGGAAGCGCAGGUCCCCUACUCACAAGCAGAUUUCCCCUCGGAAGACCACCGGCCUCCUCUUUGGGGAGACAUCCCGAAACGUCACCCCUUCCCGGACUACACUGCGGGAGAGGUACAGGAUCAGGCCUACCCAAGUGCACGGAGGAGGCAACUGAGAGUCCUGGGCAACCAGGAGCACAAAGUAAGAGGUACUGGGAAGCCCAGUGGCAGCAUCUGCCCUGCAGGCUGGACCUCCCACAAGGGGAACUGUUACACCCUGAGCCAGGGCAGGGCCAGCUGGAGCAGCGCUCAACAAGCCUGCACCUUAAUGUAUGUUAAUUUGGCAAGUGUCCACUCCAAAAAAGACAUGAAGUGGCUAUGGAAGUUUGCCAGCAAGCAGCCGUUCUGGAUCGGGCUGAGUGGCACACCAGGGCAGUGGGCCUGGACUGAUGGCCGCUUCAUGACAUUCUCCAGGCUGAGGAGCCACAGCAAUGCUGAAUAUCAGUCCCUGGAUAGCACUGGUCUCUACUGUGUGCUGGCCCAGAACCAGAGGACUUGGACACCAGAGAACUGCACUGCAGGCCCAGAAUAUAAAUACAUAUGCUCCGCAGCAGUCCAGGACAUCCUCAUGUCACAGCAAAGACCAUCUAGUACAAAAUAG
rnacentral:lncRNA from 1 species